rnacentral:rRNA from 1 species
AUUGAACGCUGGCGGCAGGCCUAACACAUGCAAGUCGAACGGUAACAGGAAGCAGCUUGCUGCUUCGCUGACGAGUGGCGGACGGGUGAGUAAUGUCUGGGAAGCUGCCUGAUGGAGGGGGAUAACCACUGGAAACGGUAGCUAAUACCGCAUAAUGUCGCAAGACCAAAGAGGGGGACCUUCGGGCCUCUUGCCAUCGGAUGUGCCCAGAUGGGAUUAGCUUGUUGGUGGGGUAACGGCUCACCAAGGCGACGAUCCCUAGCUGGUCUGAGAGGAUGACCAGCCACACUGGAACUGAGACACGGUCCAGACUCCUACGGGAGGCAGCAGUGGGGAAUAUUGCACAAUGGGCGCAAGCCUGAUGCAGCCAUGCCGCGUGUAUGAAGAAGGCCUUCGGGUUGUAAAGUACUUUCAGCGGGGAGGAAGGGAGUAAAGUUAAUACCUUUGCUCAUUGACGUUACCCGCAGAAGAAGCACCGGCUAACUCCGUG